ensembl:lncRNA
GCCUUCCGAAGGCUUGAGAUGGUAAAUCUCUUAAUUGAUCAGAUUAAUGCAUUAUAAUGCUUUGGCAUGUCUGACAAACUAUAACCCCUCUGAGGACAAAAAGGUUCGGAUUAAAUCCAUUAUUUUAAUCCUUCCAUUUUAAUGUAUGCCACAGCAAAAAUGUAAUAUCACAUAACCCUCCAUUGCUAUUCAUCAGUGAGGGAACUGCAAAGUCAACACACAUUUUAAUUACAAGCCAAAAGCAAUUAAACGUGAGGACAAGCGUCAGUAUGCUAAUUAAAUGGCAGGCUCCCGUGGGAAGAGAAGCUCUUAAAUAUCACUGCUAUCAGUCCAGAUUGAGGACUACGAGCUGCCAUCGUUCACACUCACCUGACACAUUUUCACCUCCCAGCUGCAGUAAAGCAAACACGGGCUUGACUGCCUGGAUAGCUAACAAGCUAGCCCGCUAACAAGGAGACUCCAAUAGCGAGCCCCUCAACAGAUUAGCACCUCAUCAGCCUCCCGUGGCUGGGGACAAAUAUAGCCUUCCCUCCCAUAAAAUACAAUGGGACCGCCGGGGAUAAACAACACCCCAGCGGGGGGUCCGAUUCCCCCUAACUAAACUUCCUGACCUUCCCCUUCUCUCUGCCUCACAGCUGCCUGAGCCACCAAGUCCUGCUCCAGCCCUGUGGCCCAAUUGGAGAGUUGUGUGUAUUUCAGGUGAGCAAAUAUUGCCACUUGCUUGAGAGUUCAAUGGUUGCCCCUUUCAGAGGUUGCGUAUUGCAGUCACUCACUUGCAGGAAGUAGGUGUGAAGCUAUGGGAAUUCCUCUCAGCACAGCUGGAGUCAUCCAAUCAGCCCAGUCUUGGAUUGGCCCUUAGAAUUCAGCCUCUUAGUGGAUUCUUUCGGUCUCAUUUAACUCUGGUGUAUGGACCGCUAGAACAGAAAAGGGAAAGUGUCAUUUCUUUGAAACGUACAGUCUUUGGAUGGCCGAUUCUGUGGAACUUGAGAAUUAACCUGUUUUUGAGAUGCCUUUGACCUCACUAAGCAUUUGCAAAGGUGCCAACUGGUCAUUAAGCUCCGAUCUUAAUAGAAAUGUCUCAAACUGAG